rnacentral:rRNA from 1 species
CCUACGGGAGGCAGCAGUGAGGAAUAUUGGUCAAUGGACGUAAGCCUGAACCAGCCAAGUCGCGUGAGGGAAGAAGGUUCUAUGGAUUGUAAACUUCUUUUAUACGGGGGUAAACUGAGAUACGCGUAUUAUUCUGAAUGUACCGUACGAAUAAGGAUCGGCUAACUCCGUGCCAGCAGCCGCGGUAAUACGGAGGAUUCCAGCGUUAUCCGGAUUUAUUGGGUUUAAAGGGUGCGUAGGCGGUCUGAUAAGUUAGAGUUGAAAUCCCGAGGCUCAACUUUGGAAUUGCCGUUGAUACUGUUGGGCUAGAGUGUAGUUGAGGCAGGCGGAAUGUAUGGUGUAGCGGUGAAAUGCUUAGAGAUCAUGCAGAACCCCGAUUGCGAAGGCAGCCUACCAAGCUACUUCUGACGUUGAGGCACGAAAGCGUGGGGAGCAAACAGGAUUAGAUACCCGGGUAGUC